rnacentral:rRNA from 1 species
GACGAACGCUGGCGGCGUGCUUAACACAUGCAAGUCGAACGAUGAAGCUGGAGCUUGCUCCGGUGGAUUAGUGGCGAACGGGUGAGUAACACGUGAGUAAUCUGCCCUCGACUCUGGGAUAACUGCGGGAAACUGUAGCUAAUACCGGAUACGACACCUUCGGGCAUCCGAUGGGUGUGGAAAGAAUUUCGGUCAAGGAUGAACUCGCGGCCUAUCAGCUAGUUGGUGAGGUAAUGGCUCACCAAGGCGACGACGGGUAGCCGGCCAGAGAGGGUGACCGGCCACACUGGGACUGAGACACGGCCCAGACUCCUACGGGAGGCAGCAGUGGGGAAUAUUGCACAAUGGGCGAAAGCCUGAUGCAGCAACGCCGCGUGAGGGAUGAAGGCCUUCGGGUUGUAAACCUCUUUUAGUUGGGAAGAAGCGAAAGUGACGGUACCAACAGAAAAAGCACCGGCUAACUACGUGCCAGCAGCCGCCGUAA